rnacentral:rRNA from 1 species
AAGAGACAGCAGCAGCCGCGGUAAUACAGAGGGUGCGAGCGUUAAUCGGAUUUACUGGGCGUAAAGCGUGCGUAGGCGGCUUCUUAAGUCGGAUGUGAAAUCCCUGAGCUUAACUUAGGAAUUGCAUUCGAUACUGGGAAGCUAGAGUAUGGGAGAGGAUGGUAGAAUUCCAGGUGUAGCGGUGAAAUGCGUAGAGAUCUGGAGGAAUACCGAUGGCGAAGGCAGCCAUCUGGCCUAAUACUGACGCUGAGGUACGAAAGCAUGGGGAGCAAACAGGAUUAGAUACCCCUGUAGUCCCUGUCUCUUAUAA